rnacentral:misc_RNA from 1 species
AACGCACAUUGCGCCCGCCAGUAUUCUGGCGGGCAUGCCUGUCUGAGCGUCAUUUCAACCCUCAUACCUCCGGGUGUGGUGUUGGGGAUCGGCCUUCAGCCCCCUCGGGGGCGCGGCCGGCCCCUAAAUCUAGUGGCGGACCCGCUGUGGCCUCCUCUGCGUAGUAGUGAUACCCCGCACCGGAAAGCAGCGAGCCCCUGCCGUAAAACCCCAACUCUUCUAAGGUUGACCUCAGAUCAGGUAGGAAUACCCGCUGAACUUAA